GACGAACGCUGGCGGCGUGCCUAAUACAUGCAAGUAGAACGCUGAAGAGAGGAGCUUGCUCUUCUUGGAUGAGUUGCGAACGGGUGAGUAACGCGUAGGUAACCUGCCUGGUAGCGGGGGAUAACUAUUGGAAACGAUAGCUAAUACCGCAUAAAAUGGAUUAUCGCAUGAUAAUGCAUUGAAAGGUGCAAAUGCAUCACUACCAGAUGGACCUGCGUUGUAUUAGCUAGUUGGUGGGGUAACGGCUCACCAAGGCGACGAUACAUAGCCGACCUGAGAGGGUGAUCGGCCACACUGGGACUGAGACACGGCCCAGACUCCUACGGGAGGCAGCAGUAGGGAAUCUUCGGCAAUGGACGGAAGUCUGACCGAGCAACGCCGCGUGAGUGAAGAAGGUUUUCGGAUCGUAAAGCUCUGUUGUAAGAGAAGAACGAGUGUGAGAGUGGAAAGUUCACACUGUGACG
rnacentral:rRNA from 1 species